AACCCCAUGACUGUCUGACCCUGUUAACCCCAUGACUGUCUGACCCUGUUAACCCUAUGACUGUCUGACCCUGUUAACCUAGUCGGACCCUGUUAACCCCAUGACUGUCUGACCCUGUUAACCCCAUGACUGUCUGACCCUGUUAACCCCAUGACUGUCUGAACCUGUUAACCCUAUGACUGUCUGACCCUGUUAACCCCAUGACUGUCUGACCCUGUUAACCCCAUGACUGUUUGACCCUGUUAACCUAGUCUGACCCUGUUAACCUAGUCUGACCCUGUUAACCCCAUGACUGUCUGACCCUGUUAACCCCGUGACUGUCUGACCCUGUUAACCCCAUGACUGUAUGACCCUAUUAACCCUAAGACUGUCUGACCCUGUUAACCCCAUGACUGUCUGACCCUAUUAACCCUAUGACUGUCUGACCCUGUUAACCUAGUCUGACCCUGUUAACCCCAUGACUGUCUGACCCUGUUAACCCCAUGACUGUCUGACCCUAUUAACCCUAAGACUGUCUGACCCUGUUAACCCCAUGACUGUCUGACCCUAUUAACCCUAUGACUGUCUGACCCUGUUAACCUAGUCGGACCCUGUUAACCCCAUGACUGUCUGACCCUGUUAACCCCAUGACUGUCUGACCCUGUUAACCCCAUGACUGUCUGACCCUGUUAACCCCAUGACUCUCUGACCCUGUUAACCCCAUGGCUGUCUGACCCUGUUAACCCCAUGACUGUCUGACCCUGUUAACCCCGUGACUGUCUGACCCUGUUAACCCCAUGACUGUCUGACCCUGUUAACCCCAUGACUGUCUGACCCUGUUAACCCCAUGACUGUCUGACCCUGUUAACCCCGUGACUGUCUGACCCUGUUAACCCCGUGACUGUCUGACCCUGUUAACCUAGUCUGACCCUGUUAACCUAGUCUGACCCUGUUAACCCCAUGACUGUCUGACCCUGUUAACCCCGUGACUGUCUGACCCUGUUAACCCCAUGACUGUCUCACCCUGUUAACCCCAUGACUGUCUGACCCUGUUAACCCCAUGACUGUCUGACCCUAUUAACCCUAAGACUGUCUGACCCUGUUAACCCCAUGACUGUCUGACCCUAUUAACCCUAUGACUGUCUGACCCUGUUAACCCCAUGACUGUCUGACCCUGUUAACCCCAUGACUGUCUGACCCUGUUAACCCUAUGACUGUCUGACCCUGUUAACCUAGUCGGACCCUGUUAACCCCAUGACUGUCUGACCCUGUUAACCCCAUGACUGUCUGACCCUGUUAACCCCAUGACUGUCUGAACCUGUUAACCCUAUGACUAUCUGACCCUGUUAACCCCAUGACUGUCUGACCAUGACUGUCUGACCCUGUUAACCCUGUGACUGUCUGACCCUGUUAACCCUGUGACUGUCUGACCUUGUUAACCCUGUGACUGUCUGACCCUGUUAACCCCAUGGCUGUCUGACCCUGUUAACCCCGUGACUGUCUGACCCUGUUAACCCCGUGACUGUCUGACCCUGUUAACCCCAUGACUGUCUGACCAUGUUAACCCUAUGACUGUCUGACCAUGUUAACCCUAUGACUGUCUGACCAUGUUAACCCCAUGACUGUCUGAUCAUGACUGUCUGACCCUGUUAACCCCGUGACGGUCUGACCCUGUUAACCCCAUGACUGUCUGACCCUGUUAACUCCAUGACUGUCUGAUCAUGACUGUCUGACCCUGUUAACCCUGUGACGGUCUGACCAUGUUAACCCUAUGACUGUCUGACCCUGUUAAUCCAUGACUGUCUGACCCUGUUAAUCCAUGACUGUCUGACCCUGUUAACCCCGUGACUGUCUGACCCUGUUAACCCCGUGACUGUCUGACCCUGUUAACCCCGUGACUGUCUGACCCUGUUAACCCCGUGACUGUCUGACCCUGUUAACCCCGUGACUGUCUGACCCUGUUAACCCCGUGACUGUCUGACCCUGUUAACCCCGUGACUGUCUGACCCUGUUAACCCUGUGACUGUCUGACCCUGUUAACCCUGUGACUGUCUGACCCUGUUAACCCCGUGACGGUCUGACCCUGUUAACCCCGUGACGGUCUUACCCUGUUAACCCCGUGACUGUCUGGCCCUGUUUACCCUGUGACUGUCUGACCCUGUUAACCCCGUGACUGUCUGACCCUGUUAACCCCGUGACUGUCUGACCUUGUUAACCCCAUGACUGUCUAACCCUGUUAACCCCAUGACUGUCUGAUCCUGUUAACCCCAUGACUGUCUGACCCUGUUUACCCCAUGACUGUCUGACCCUGUUUACCCCAUGACUGUCUGACCCUGUUAACCCCAUGACUGUCUGACCCUGUUAACCCCAUGACUGUCUGACCCUGUUAACCCCAUGACUGUCUGACCCUAUUAACCCUAAGACUGUCUGACCCUGUUAACCCCAUGACUGUCUGACCCUAAUAACCCUAUGACUCUCUGACCCUGUUAACCUAGUCUGACCCUGUUAACCCCAUGACUGUCUGACCCUGUUAACCCCAUGACUGUCUGACCCUGUUAACCCCAUGACUGUCUGACCCUGUUAACCCCAAGACUCUCUGACCCUGUUAACCCCAUGACUGUCUGACCCUGUUAACCCCAUGACUGUCUGACCCUGUUAACCCCAUGACUGUCUGACCCUGUUAACUUUUUGACUGUCUGUACCCUCUAUUACCCAUAGAAUGACUGACUGUAAACCUCCAUGCAUAAAUUCCUCCAUGCAUAAAAUCCUCCUAGUCCCUGUGAGAUCUUCAAAUUCGGCCUAACUGGUCAUUUUCAUGGUCCUUCGAGCCAGAUAGUGUACAAUUUCCUGGACCACUCCGCAUUACCCUACUGACCCCUGUAUUUAACCUUAUCUCUGACUGACAACCUCUUAUCAUUGACCAUCUGGCUAUGCGCUUCCAGAAUCUCUCAUGACCGCAGCUGCCCGUCUAGCUCACUCAAACUAGCUGAUCUAGAACCACUCAAACUAGCUGAUCUAGAACCACUCAAACUAGCUGAUCUAGAACCACUCAAACUAGCUGAUCUAGAACCACUCAAACUAGCUGAUCUAGAACCACUCAAACUAGCUGAUCUAGAACCACUCAAACUAGCUGAUCUAGAACCACUCAAACUAGCUGAUCUAGAACCACUCAAACUAGCUGAUCUAGAACCACUCAAACUAGCUGAUCUAGAACCCCUCAAACUAGCUGAUCUAGAACCACUCAAACUAGCUGAUCUAGAACCACUCAAACUAGCUGAUCUAGAACCACUCAAACUAGCUGAUCUAGAACCACUCAAACUAGCUGAUCUAGAACCACUCAAACUAGCUGAUCUAGAACCACUCAAACUAGCUGAUCUAGAACCACUCAAACUAGCUGAUCUAGCUACUGUUUUAGCCUAUUUCUUUUUAAAUGACUUUUUGAUGAUUUUUUUGCUUAACAAGCACCUUGAGAUUCUGUCUGUAAUGAAAAGCACUAUAAAAGUUUAAUCAAAUAUUAUAAUUAUCCCUGGUUGACCCCAUGACCCUUGCAGUCUACCUUCCUAUCACUGUAUAUAUCCUGGGCUAUGUCCCAAUUAUCACUCCUUUCUCACAAAGUGUGCACUUGUUUACUUCCCUUCACUGAUCUGAAAGGGUUAGUAUGAUUGGUAUAGAAAAAACAUGAUGGAAACUAGCCCAUACCUCCACCAAUCCAAUGCUUUUAUAUUUGUGGUAAGUAGUGAACAAGUGCACACUUCAGGAAAAAUAUGUUUAUUGGGACACCACUUAUAUCCCCUAUAACUGAAUAAAUCCCCAUCACUGUCUUACUCGGUUAAACUCAGCUGUCACUUCUCCUGCUUGAUCCAACGUGUUCAUAAUAAGAAAAGGAAAAGUGAGAAUGUCUUGCAGAGCUCAUUGUAUGAAUGUAUUCCUGUACAGUAUCUGGAUGAAUGUAUAUAUUGUAUGUAGUCGAAUGUGUAGUCAGGUCAUUGUCAGUUGUCAGGCUGGCUCAGUAUCACAGUACAGAUGUAGGAUCUUAAUUUGAGCCAGUUCUUGACCGCAGGAAAAUAAUCCAGCAGCAACAGGAAAUGUGUAUUAUUAUGUGAUUUAAAAUUAAUGGACAUUUUUGUAGGGGUUGAUACAUUUUAAAGUCUGACAUUUUAAAGUGGAAAUUACAAUCUUUAGAAGCCUUUUUAAACCUUGAAUACAUUACACAUUUGCUUUUCCUGUUAUGCAGGAAAAUUCUCAGCGACAAAGAGUGAUCAAAUUUAAGAUUCUACAUCAGUAAAUCGUAUGUUCAGGCCUUUUCAGCCAACUUCAACUCACCAGCAUUCUAAUCUCCUACAGUAGUAUUCAUUUAUAACAAGCAUUUUGCUAAAGAUCACCCAGAAGCGAAUGUAGUGAAAUGUAUAUUCAAUGUUAAAGUUAAGACAUUGAUGGAAAAUGUUAGAAUUGUAGUGUCUUACCUGUCAAUCAAAAUAAAGGCAGAUUUGAAUUCAGUGGCAAUUUCAAAAUCACUCUGAAGUCCAACAAAUCUAAAGUAAAUACAGUUUUAGAAAUAGAUUAUGGUUAAUGCAUACAUCUAUUUUUCUGGUGGAAAAAUACUUAUUACGAUGUACAAAAUCUUGAAUUUAUUUAAAUUGGCUUUUCCUGCCAGUAAAUGUUUGGUUGAGCCUUCGGUCCGUAGAUCUCUUGUAGUUGUGUUAAGUGUAGACCUAGCUUGAUAACGAAGCUUUGAACCUAGAUAGAACUCAAAUGAAGCAAAUAAAAGCAUUUUUUUGUGAAUUUUGUCUAAAGUGUUGUACAGUAAUUUGGAACGAAAUAUACAAUAACGAAGAAAGGGGAAACCAAUAAUAUGUUGCAAUAUCUUUAUGACUAGGCUAUUGUUUCAUGUUUGAAUCAUCAAUACUCUUUUGCUGCCUAUUUUUUGUAAUAUAUGUAUAUGGUGAAUGUUAUGUAUAUAAAGUGUUUGUCAUCUUUAAAUGUUUAAUCAGGGUCAUAUCUUUUGAAAAUCUUCAAGGAUUUUUUGUAUUUACAUGACAUUAUUUUUAUUUUCUUUCUUAACCACAAAUGAAGAUGUCAUGUUGUUUGAUUCUCAUCUUUUAUCAGUUCUCGGUUAAUAAUCAGUAUUUCACAAAGAUCCUUCAUGUUCUUUCAGUGUAUUACCAUCAACAUCCAUAGAAGCAGAAUAUUAAAUGUACAGUAUUUACAUAACUUGAAAUUAGAUGUUCAGACAAUGUAUUGUUAUACCUUCAUGAGAUGUUUUACUACUUUUCAGUGUGCAACGACUUUCUUCUCAAAUUAAAGUUCAAUACAAUAAAGAUGACAACAAAAUA